rnacentral:rRNA from 1 species
ACGAACGCUGGCGGCGUGCUUAACACAUGCAAGUCGAACGGAAAGGCCCUGCUUGCAGGGUCCUCGAGUGGCGAACGGGUGAGUAACACGUGGGUGAUCUGCCCUGCACUUCGGGAUAAGCCUGGGAAACUGGGUCUAAUACCGGAUAGGAGCCAUUUUUAGUGUGAUGGUUGGAAAGUUUUUUCGGUGUAGGAUGAGCUCGCGGCCUAUCAGCUUGUUGGUGGGGUAAUGGCCUACCAAGGCGGCGACGGGUAGCCGGCCUGAGAGGGUGGACGGCCACAUUGGGACUGAGAUACGGCCCAGACUCCUACGGGAGGCAGCAGUGGGGAAUAUUGCACAAUGGGCGCAAGCCUGAUGCAGCGACGCCGCGUGGGGGAGGACGGCCUUCGGGUUGUAAACUCCUUUCGCUAGGGACGAAGCUUUUUGUGACGGUACCUAGAUAAGAAGCACCGGCUAACUACGUG